rnacentral:rRNA from 1 species
GACGAACGCUGGCGGCGUGGAUUAGGCAUGCAAGUCGAACGGUAUCAUCCUUUCGGGGGUGAGAGAGUGGCGAACUGGUGAGUAACACGUAGGUUAUCUACCCUCAAGACGGGGACAACCCAGGGAAACUUGGGCUAAUACCGGAUGUGAGCAACUUUUAGUUGUUUGAAAGGUGGCGUAAGCUGUCGCUUGGGGAUGAGCCUGCGUCCUAUUAGUUAGUUGGUGAGGUAACGGCUCACCUAGGCAAUGAUAGGUAGGCGGCCUUAACGGGUGGUCGCCCACACUGGGAUUGAGAUACGGCCCAGACUCCUACGGGAGGCAGCAGUCGAGAAUAGUCUACAAUGGUCGGAAGACUGAUAGUGCGACGCCGCGUGAACGAUGAAUCCCUUCGGGGUGUAAAGUUCUUUUAUAUGUGAGCAGUGCUUUCUUAUAUUAACAGUAUGGGGAGAGAGAUAUUAGCAUAUGAAUAAGCAACGGCUAACUCCGUGCCAGCAGCCGCGGU